rnacentral:misc_RNA from 1 species
UCCUCUCUUUUGGCAUGUUGCAAGACAAUAUUAGUACAACUCCAACCAAUUUGGUGCCAUUGGGGAGCUUAUUCACAGGCAAGACAUGGUCUCUGAUGUCGCGGAGCUGGUUCUCCCUGAUGUGCUUUUGGGUCCUAAUUGUUUCAGUGAGCAUUAAAAUUGGAAUCUUUGUUUGUAGCAAGUAACUUACAUGGUCAAUGAAGUUGCCCGGGAGACAAUGAAAACUGUUCCCUCUUCUCUAGGUUGAAUUUUCUUUGC